GGGGUCGACUGGUUUUGACAGCAAGUGGCACUGAAAAGUAAGCAUGUCGAGCAUUGUAUUUUUGGCUCGUAAAUAUCAAUAAUACACACUUUAUAAACGGCGAAAAUACUUACGCUUUAGCUGCAUAAUCCGAAUUAUAGUACGAUAAUGCCAAGUCCCAACAAGGUUGGGAAGCUGGAUUUCUCUCAAAAGCCUUGGUUUAUGGCGGUUGAUUAAGAGGAAUGGUAAAAAUAAACCUAGGAAUGGUAAAACUUUAAAUCCAUUCUGACAGUAAUAAAGUUAAGCAAUUAGUGGCUGUUUUUGGCCGGGCUGGUUGUCGAAAAUUCAAACAAAAACUAAACAUGUAGAAAGCUCUUUGAUGGCUUGUUUGGACGAGAGUUCGAUUCUCUCCGACUCCACAA
rnacentral:tmRNA from 1 species